rnacentral:rRNA from 1 species
AAUAGAUACCCCGGUAGUCCACGCCCUAAACUAUGUCGACUGGUUGUUGGGGGGAGUCUGUCCCUCAGUAACGUAGCUAACGCGUGAAGUCGACCGCCUGGGGAGUACGGUCGCAAGAUUAAAACUCAAAGGAAUUGACGGGGACCCGCACAAGCGGUGGAUUAUGUGGAUUAAUUCGAUGCAACGCGAAGAACCUUACCUACCCUUGACAUGCCAGGAACCUCGCAGAGAUGUGAGGGUGCCCGAAAGGGAACCUGGACACAGGUGCUGCAUGGCUGUCGUCAGCUCGUGUCGUGAGAUGUUGGGUUAAGUCCCGCAACGAGCGCAACCCUUGCCAUUAGUUGCUACAUUCAGUUGGGCACUCUAAUGGGACUGCCGGUGACAAACCGGAGGAAGGUGGGGAUGACGUCAAGUCCUCAUGGCCCUUAUGGGUAGGGCUUCACACGUAAUACAAUGGCGCAUACAGAGGGCUGCAAACCCGCGAGGGGGAGCCAAUCCCAAAAAGUGCGUCGUAGUCCGGAUUGUUCUCUGCAACCCGAGAGC